rnacentral:rRNA from 1 species
AUUGAACGCUGGCGGCAGGCCUAACACAUGCAAGUCGAGCGAGCGGCGGACGGGUGAGUAAUGUAUGGGGAUAUGCCCGAUAGAGAGGGAUAACUAUUGGAAACGGUAGCUAAUAACGCAUACUACCUGAUGUAACCAUAUGGGAUUAGCUAGUAGGUGGGGUAAUGGCUCACCUAGGCGACGAUACCUAGCUGGUCUGAGAGGGUGAUCAGCCACACUGGGACUGAGACACGGCCCAGACUCCUACGGGAGGCAGCAGUGGGGAAUAUUGCGCAAUGGGCGAAAGCCUGAUGCAGCCAUGCCGCGUGUGUGAAGAAGGCCUUAGGGUUGUAAAGCACUUUCAGGAGGGAGGCGGUACCUACAGAGGAAGCCACGGCUAACUCCGUGCCAGCCGCCGCGGUAAUAC